rnacentral:rRNA from 1 species
AGGGCACCACCAGGAGUGGAGCCUGCGGCUUAAUUUGACUCAACACGGGGAAACUCACCCGGCCCGGACACCGGAAGGAUUGACAGAUUGAUAGCUCUUUCUUGAUUCGGUGGAUGGUGGUGCAUGGCCGUUCUUAGUUGGUGGAGCGAUCUGUCUGGUUAAUUCCGAUAACGAACGAGACUCUAGCCUAUUAAAUAGACGUCGGGUUCUCUGCACUCGACGGUCUUCUUAGAGGGACAAGGUGCUUUUAGCACCGCGAAACAGAGCAAUAACAGGUCUGUGAUGCCCUUAGAUGUCCGGGGCCGCACGCGCGCUACACUGAAGGAAGCAGCGUGUAACAACCUUGUUCUAACGAACUGGGUAACCCGUGGAACUUCCUUCAUGAUCGGGAUAGGGGUUUGCAAUUGUGCCCCUUGAACGAGGAAUUUCUAGUAAGUGUGAGUCAUAAGCUCACGUUGAUUACGUCCCUGCCCUUUGUACACACCGCCCGUCGCUACUACCGAUUGGAAGGUUCAGUGA